CACGUAGGCGGACCGGAAAGUUGGAGGUGAAAUCCCAGGGCUCAACCUUGGAACUGCCUUCAAAACUAUCGGUCUGGAGUUCGAGAGAGGUGAGUGGAAUUCCGAGUGUAGAGGUGAAAUUCGUAGAUAUUCGGAGGAACACCAGUGGCGAAGGCGGCUUACUGGACGGUAACUGACGUUGAGGCUCGAAAGCGUGGGGAGCAAACA
rnacentral:rRNA from 1 species